rnacentral:snoRNA from 1 species
GACUAGUGAUGUGAGAAAAUAUUUGCUACUCUUGAACGCCCACUGAUGAUUCCGAUCUACCAUGAUCUCUGAGGCC